rnacentral:rRNA from 1 species
GAUGAACGCUAGCGGCAGGCCUAAUACAUGCAAGUCGAGGGGCAACGGGUGUAGCAAUACAUGCCGGCGGCCGGCGCACGGGUGCGUAACGCGUAGGGAAUCUACCUUUAACUGGGGCAUAGCCCGGAGAAAUCCGGAAUAAUACCCCAUAACAAAUGAAACGGCAACGGUUUAAUUUAAAAGAAUUCCGGUUAAAGAUGAGCAUGCGUAUGAUUAGCUAGUUGGUGAGGUAAGGCCUCACCAAGGAAAGCAUCAUGAGGGGUACUGAUUGGUCACACCCCCACACGGGUACUGAGACACGGAUCCGACUCCUACGGGAGGCAGCAGUAAGGAAUAUUAGACAAUAGAGGCAACUCUGAUCCAGCCAUGCCGCGUGAAAGAAGAAGGCGCUGCGCGUUGUAAACUUCUUUUGUAACAGAGAAAACCCAUCUACGUGUAGAUGGCUGAUAGUAUGUUAAGAAUAAGCAUCGGCUAACUUCGUGCCAGCCGCCGCGGUAAUAC